AGGUAAUCAGAAACACCCAUGUCCACCAGAUUGUGGAUUUACAUGAAGAAAGGUUCAAUAUACAGUUUGCCUUUCUCAUAUAGAUUUACAAACCCCGAGAACCAAGGCUUGCCUCAGAGUUAAGAUUACAAAAAUGGGAAGACUUUGGAAAUUAAAGACGAUUGCAUUUAUUAUCUGCUUUGUUGUAAGAUCAAACUUUUCGAUUCAUCCUUGUACCUGGUCUGCAUUAACGGUUAAAAAUGUGUCCUCAUGCCCUGAUUCCGAAGAAGGGACACAAAAAGCAGCAAGAAUAAAAAAGUGUUUAGGAGUAGGACUGAGACAAAAUUGCACCCCAAAUCCACUAGAGUUUAAGUAUCACUGUCUUUAUAGUCUCCAAACGAGAGCAUUAGUGGAAGUAUGUGCAGUUGAAAUGGAUAUCCAUGACGCUUGUUUGGUGUAUGAUGCUGAUUUUUCAACACUGCGUCUGACUAAAAAACCGAAAUGCACCAAGGUUACAAAGCCAUGUCCAAAAAAAUUUUUAUCAACAAAUGCACAUCUCGGUG